UUGACGGGGCCCGGCACAAGCGGUGGAGUAUGUGGUUAAUUCGAUGCAACGCGAAGAACCUUACCUGGUCUUGACAUCCCGGAGACCCUUAGGAAACUAGGGGUGCUUCCAUCUGGAAGAAUCUGGAGACAGGUGCUGCAUGGCUGUCGUCAGCUCGUGUCGUGAGAUGUAGGGUUAAGUCCCGCAACGAGCGCAACCCUUGCCUUUAGUUGCCAGCAGUUCGGCUGGGCACUCUAAAGGGACUGCCGGUGUUAAACCGGAGGAAGGUGGGGAUGACGUCAAGUCCUCACGGCCUUUAUGACCAGGGCUACACACGUACUACAAUGGCCGAUACAAAGGGCAGCGACACUGCGAGGUGAAGCCAAUCCCGUAAAAUCGGUCUCAGUCCGGAUUGGAGUCUGCAACUCGACUCCAUGAAGUUGGAAUCGCUAGUAAUCGUGGAUCAGCAUGCCACGGUGAAUACGUUCCCGGGCCUU
rnacentral:rRNA from 1 species